AGUCCGGAUUGGAGUCUGCAACUCGACUCCAUGAAGUCGGAAUCGCUAGUAAUCGUGGAUCAGAAUGCCACGGUGAAUACGUUCCCGGGCCUUGUACACACCGCCCGUCACACCAUGGGAGUGGGCUGCAAAAGAAGUAGGUAGUUUAACCUUCGGGGGGACGCUUACCACUUUGUGGUUCAUGACUGGGGUGAAGUCGUAACAAGGUAGCGCUAGGGGAACCUGGCGCUGGAUCACCUCCUUAAACGAUGAU
rnacentral:rRNA from 1 species